rnacentral:tRNA from 7 species
GCGCCCAUAGCUCAGUCGGCUAGAGCGCACGACUGAUAAUCGUGAGGUCGGUGGUUCGAAUCCACCUGGGCGCACCA